rnacentral:rRNA from 1 species
UACGAAGGGGGGCUAGCGUUGCUCGGAAUCACUGGGCGUAAAGCGCACGUAGGCGGCUUUUUUAAGUCAGGGGUGAAAUCCUGGAGCUCAACUCCAGAACUGCCUUUGAUACUGAGAGCUUGAGUCCGGGAGAGGUGAGUGGAACUGCGAGUGUAGAGGUGAAAUUCGUAGAUAUUCGCAAGAACACCAGUGGCGAAGGCGGCUCACUGGCCCGGUACUGACGCUGAGGUGCGAAAGCGUGGGGAGCAAACAGG